AAAUGCCUAUGAUUCAUACAAGGUUGAUUAGAUAAUGGUGAUAUGACACUCAGAAAAAUAAUAAUAAUAACAUCACUCUCUCAGAAACCACACUAUUAAACAGCAGAAAACUACGGAACAGUACAACUUGUGGCAGCCUCACAAUAACACUGCCUGACAACCUUGGUUAUACCCACAAUUAACAUUCAAUAACAUUCAAUACCA
rnacentral:misc_RNA from 1 species